rnacentral:rRNA from 1 species
CCGCUGGAUUUAAGCAUAUAAUUAAGCGGAGGAAAAGAAACUAACCAGGAUUCCCCCAGUAAGGGCGACUGAAGCGGGAAUAGCUCUACUUGUGAAUCUGCGCUGUGCGCCGAAUUGUGGUCUGUUUGCGCUACGUGGGUCCGGGCCAAGUCCCUUGGAAAAGGGCAGCCGAGAGGGUGAGACUCCCGUCCGCCUGGACCCCUGAGCAAGCAUAGCUGAGUCGAGUUGUUUGGGAUUGCAGCUCAAAGCGGGUGGUAAAUUCCAUCGAAAGCUAAAUAUUGGUGGGAGACCGAUAGCGUACAAGUACCGUGAGGGAAAGAUGCAAAGAACUUUGAAAAGAGAGUUAAAGAGUACCUGAAAUUGCUGAAAGGGAAGCGAAGGAAACCAGUGGGCUUCCCGGUCAUACUUUUSUGUUCGCUUGCGGACAGGGCGCUGUGGCYGGGUUCACGUCAGRCUUGGUUGGAUUUGCCGUAUAGGUGUGUUUGGGAGUUGACCUUUCACACUUGCGGCUGGUGCGACCGAGGCUGACGAAAUGGUUUUCUUUACCCCGUCUUGAAACCGGAAACCAAGGA